UUUUUCGCUUCGUUGAAUUUCAGAAAGAGACUCGCUGUUGCGGAGAAGGGGAGGGGACAUUACCAUCACUAAAAUGAAUUUCAUGAUGAAAAUAUGAUAUAGUCUUCAUGUGAUAACAACUAGGAAAAACUGACAAUUAGGAAAUAGGACUAGAUCCCCUGCAGAUUCUCCUGCCUGUACAACCCACCAUACCCUUUUGUCCAAAGAGUUUCUGCCACCAUUCCUGAGAUGGACUUUCUCCAACCCCACCCAACAUGUAUGUAUUCAUAAUUUCACCACUUUGGAGGUGUAUUUUCUAGUACAUCCUGGACAUACCAUACUGAACAGUCCCUACUUUCCUAUGAGCUGCACCACUAGUAGCUGCUGCCGCCGCAACUCCAAUUCCACCAUAUUGGGAUUUAGCCUGCAAUAAGUUUGUGUCUAUGGUGAUUCGGUCAUCAACACGAUCUGGUUUUGUAACUCCAGCUCGCAUCAUAUAGAAUGGGUUGCUAUCAAUAUUUAUAGCAAUAUCUGGGGCUAACUUAGCAGCCAUUCCACAUGGUGCCAUUGGCUUUGAAUGACAAUUCAUAUCCCUCUCUGUCUCAACAGACCUUUCUUGUUUCACCACCCCACUUCUGUCGUAGCUGUAAACUGAAGACAUAAUCUGAGGGGGGCCUACUGCAUUCCUGACUUGAGACCUAGGAUCAUAUUUUUCUCUAUUUCC
rnacentral:misc_RNA from 1 species